rnacentral:sRNA from 1 species
UAGGAGGACUCGUGUAAGGUCUGUUAGAUGAUGAAAAUGUAGGUAGGUCUGGUAGGAGGACUCGUGUAAGGUCUGUUAGAUAAUGAUGUAGGUAGGUCUGGUAGGAGGACUCGUGUAAGGUCUGUUAGAUGAUGUAUUAUCAACCAGCCAACAACUAAAAUAGCACUUCAAAAGUAAAACUUUAUGAGCCUAAAGUUAUAUGUAAAGAAUUGUUGUGUUGUUGAUACACUAUCUUAACUGUGCUGCUUAAAGUUAUGGUACACAAACCAUAUUAUGUUGUUUCAAGCUGCUUUAAGAAUCUGUAUUGCUUUGUUUAAAUAAAUUAAUUUCUACUUGAA